rnacentral:rRNA from 1 species
AACGGAUAUCUCGGCUCUCGCAUCGAUGAAGAACGUAGCGAAAUGCGAUACUUGGUGUGAAUUGCAGAAUCCCGUGAACCAUCGAGUCUUUGAACGCAAGUUGCGCCCAAAGCUAUUAGGCCGAGGGCACGUCUGCCUGGGCGUCACACA